UACAGAGGAGCCAAGGCGUUGUCCGGAUUGACUGGGGCGUAAAGCGCACGCAGGCGGUUGCGCGCGUGGGGUGUGAAAUCUGGCCGCUUAACGGCCAGGCGCCAUCCCAUACGGCGCGACUGGAGUGAUGCAGAGGUCGAUGGAAUUGCCGGUGUAGUGGUGAAAUGCGUAGAGAUCGGCAGGAACACCAGUGGCGAAGGCGGCCACCUAGCCCGCACCUGACGCUGAGGCGCGACA
rnacentral:rRNA from 1 species